UGGGAUUUAGCUCAGUGGCAUAAGCACCUGCCUUGUAAGCAGGCAGUUGUGAGUUCAAUCCCUG
rnacentral:tRNA from 1 species